rnacentral:lncRNA from 1 species
GGGGAGCCGAUGUCCAUCGCUGCCUGAGGUUUCACAGAAGAACAUGCACCGAACAGAUCCCUCUGUUCUGCUAAAAAUAGGCUAUAAAGGAGUCGGCCUCAUGAUGGCUCCUUGAUUCAAUUUGCUGCAAAUUCUUUCCUGAAAGCCUCCCCCCACAUCCACACACACAGCAAAAGGGGGUGUCAGUGCACAUUUUCGGGGACCACAACAUCCUAAGGGUGAGGAUCCCCCGAGACCAGGAGAGGGUAGGGGGUGGGCAGGCACGUGAGCAUUUCAAAGAAGCCUGAGCGAGGAAAAAGGGGGGAUGGGGCGCCCCGAAUGCCUUCCCUGCCUUCCCCUCCCCCACCCAAGCCCCAGCUCCCCAAAGGGCCAAGUUGAAAAAUGCAGGUUCCACCGGCGCCCAUCCCCCCGCGGCCCGGCGCCCCCGGCUGCCGCCGCCCGCGCCCCCCCGCCCGGCCCGCGGCCGCCCCACCCCGGGGUCCGGCCCCCAGCGCUUACCUGGAAACGGUGGCCUCCGACGCCGCUCCCCCCUCCCGGGAAUGGAGGCACAAGGAAAUUCCCCUCCUCGCCGCCGCCGCCGCCGCCUCCAACCACCCCCAAAAUAACCCCUCCGGGGGGUGAGAGGCAAUUAUAACCCCGGCGAGCGGAGGGCGCGGGGGAUGGGCGCGGGCGGGGGCGGGCGGGGCGGGGAGGGCGGGCGCGGGUCCCCAGGUGGCGAGCGGAGGUGCUCCCGCCGCGGGGGAGGGGCGGGGGCGCACGCGGCCGGCGGCGGGGGAGGCGCGCGCGCGGGGGAAGGGCGCGAGCGGGGAGAGGAAUUGAGGCAGAAGGUAAAAGCUGUUACUAAGGGAAAGAGCCAAACGGUUCGGAGCAGCCAACGGCUCAGACACUCAACACUGGGGAGAGAGGAAUGGGGACCAGCCAGGCACAAAUGAGCUCGCGAGGCCCGCGGCGGCGACGGCCGCGCAGCAAAACAAACCCGAGCGGCCUGCGCCGGGCGGGCGGCGGGCGCGCGGGGGAGGGGCCGGCGCGGGGGAGGGGCGCGCGGCCGCGGGAG